AUUGAACGCUGGCGGCAUGCCUUACACAUGCAAGUCGAACGGCAGCACGGGUGCUUGCACCUGGUGGCGAGUGCGAACGGGUGAGUAAUACAUCGGAACGUACCUUAUCGUGGGGGAUAACGCAGCGAAAGCUGUGCUAAUUCCGCAUACGCCCUGAGGGGGAAAGCGGGGGAUCGCAAGACCUCGCGCGAUUAGAGCGGCCGAUGCCUGAUUAGCUUGUUGGUGGGGUAAAAGCCCACCAAGGCGACGAUCAGUAGCUGGUCUGAGAGGACGAUCAGCCACACUGGGACUGAGACACGGCCCAGACUCCUACGGGAGGCAGCAGUGGGGAAUUUUGGACAAUGGGGGCAACCCUGAUCCAGCAAUGCCGCGUGAGUGAAGAAGGCCUUCGGGUUGUAAAGCUCUUUUGUCAGGGAAGAAACACCGGCUCUAACACAGUCCGGGAAUGACGGUACCUGAAGAAUAAGCACCGGCUAACUACGUGCCAGCAGCCGCCGUAA
rnacentral:rRNA from 1 species